CACUCACAAUGCCAUCAACAUGCAGACCUAUAUUGGAAAACACAAUAGUAACGAGGCAUUUCGAUUUUCACUUCUUAUACAUACACACAAAAUCUAGUUUUAUGUUGAUAUUAGUUUAACUUGUAGAAUUUCACUCGAAGAUUUUCAGUAGUGUCAAUUCAAAAGCACACAACUACUGUUUCUCUCACGAUGGAUUCUUCAAAGCUAAUUAUCUCCUGAAAACUCUUGUCUAAAUAGCAUUAUUUUAAUGCAUACCGAGUUAGGUAGGUACCUUUUGUAACUACCUACCUACCUCAUUAUGUUUGCUCAAUGCUCACAGAUUAAUGGAGACAACUAAGCCCGAGAAUGACGUGGAGACAACCAAGUCGACGCAUGCGUCUACGAAAAAGGGACACAAAAUGGUCGUCUUUGUCGCUUCUCUGUGGUAGGUAUUCUCGGGUCCUGCACCUGUUGUCACAGAUUAAAACACAUCACGCAACUACGGUAGACUGAGGUGUUGGAGCAUUCAAUGAUGAAUACCUCAUUUUUCGACUUCAGCUCACUCGAUCAGAGAAAAGCUAAGGUCAGGUGCUAAGUCGAGAUGAUAAGCCGAGGUCUUUAAUAUUGUUAAAGAAGCUUCCAUACAUUCACUUAUUUUUGUUUAGCCGCAGCAGUGAAGUGAUUUCAGUGCUGUGAUAUGAGGCCUUUGCUGAACGGGUUCCAACUUGGUCACAGUGUUGUUAUCGAAAACUAAACUGAAAUUAGUUUGCAUUCUGUCAUCCUGAAGACUUUUGAAUCCGUUUUAUUUCAUUCAACUCUCAAAAUUAGUUAUCUAGAAUAAUCUAGAUAAAUAACUUAUCCACUGAUUGGACAAAUGCGGCAAGAAUACUUAGAGAGAAAUUUCACAAACUACACCUAACGAUGUGAUCUUCACAAACUGCUCUAGGUAGUUAUGAUCGAGUAAGUAUCUGAGUAGGUAGUUCUCAUUGGUGAUUACGUUGGGUAUAUAUAAAUUAGAUUGAAGAAUGAACUUCCAGUAUGUUAUUUACUACGAUAGGGCAUCAUGUGAUAUCUUUGAAAAUGAAGUUUGUGAAGUUUGAAUCGUUAGAUGUAGUUCGUGAAAUUACUAUGGAGUUUCAUCAAGUAACAGCCGAGUCAAUCAGAAAACUACAGAGCGAGAAAGAUAGAGAGAAAACUUCUCCAUGCACUUGAGGUAAUCUAUUUGAGAUGAUAUGCGAAUCGAUUACCUUCAAUAUAUAAAUCCACAAUCUUUUCAAUCAUUCUAAUAAAAUUGUUUGAAACAAAAAGAGAUAUACCACAACUUCAAUAUGAGCAAUUUUUUAACAUUAGUUUUUCCAAUUCUGUGUAUAGUCGUUCAUCUUACGAUUGGAUCAGAAGAUUUACCAGAAGUUACAGUCAUCAAUAGUAAUGUCCCAAAUGAAAAUUACAAAGUCGAUGCAAAAGAAGCAUAUUUGAAAUCUUGGAAACUUUAUGCCAAUGAAACCAAUAAACGCAUUGAAACUUUUUCAAGUCUUUAUCAGCUGAAAUAUCCUGUUAAUGGAGGAUGGAGUGUCGCAGAGGGAUGUAUUACUAGGUACACACCUGGGGACACAUACAGUUUUGUAACGUUGAGCUCAGUUUACAAUAACGUUACAACUGUUGUCGAUAUAUUCUGUUUUUUUAUUCAGAUAUAGUAUAUAUUGAAUAAAUAAAUAGUGAACUAUUA